CUGUGCAAAGGUAGCAUAAUCAUUAGCUUUUUAAUUGAAGGCUUGUAUGAAUGGUUGGACAAAGUAAAGGCUGUCUUUAAUUUUAUUUUUUGAAUUUAACUUUUAAGUGAAAAGGCUUAAAUGAAUUUAAGGGACGAUAAGACCCUAUAAAUCUUUAUAUUAAAUUGUUAUUUUGAAAUUUAAUGGUUUGUUUAAAUAAAUAAGAAAACAAAAAAUAUUUUGUUGGGGUGAUGAGAAUAUAUAAAUAACUGUUCUUAUUUUAUACAAAGUUAUUUGUUUAGAUUAGUAGAUCCUUUAUUUAAGAUUAAAAGUUUAAGUUACUUUAGGGAUAACAGCGUUAUUUUUUUUGAGAGUUCUUAUCGAAAAAAAAGUUUGCGACCUCGAUGUUGAAUUAAAAUUUCUCUACGGUGUAGAAGUUGUAGAAGAGAGUCUGUUCGACUUUUGAAGUUUU
rnacentral:rRNA from 1 species